rnacentral:rRNA from 1 species
GACGAACGCUGGCGGCGUGCUUAACACAUGCAAGUCGAACGGAAAGGCCCUGCUUUUGUGGGGUGCUCGAGUGGCGAACGGGUGAGUAACACGUGAGUAACCUGCCCUUGACUUUGGGAUAACUUCAGGAAACUGGGGCUAAUACCGGAUAGGAGCUCCUGCUGCAUGGUGGGGGUUGGAAAGUUUCGGCGGUUGGGGAUGGACUCGCGGCUUAUCAGCUUGUUGGUGGGGUAGUGGCUUACCAAGGCUUUGACGGGUAGCCGGCCUGGGAGGGUGACCGGCCACAUUGGGACUGAGAUACGGCCCAGACUCCUACGGGAGGCAGCAGUGGGGAAGAUUGCACUAUGGGCUGAAGCCUGAUGCAGCAACGCCGCGUGCGGGAUGACGGCCUUCGGGUUGUAAACCGCUUUCGCCUGUGACGAAGCGUGAGUGACGGUAAUGGGUAAAGAAGCACCGGCUAACUACGUG